UCAGAGGGUUCUUGGGUCGUGUUGGAGGGUUCCAGAGGCCGGUGAAGCCGGCGGAGGUCGCCUCCGCCAGCCGACGCCUCAACCUUUGUCCUGGGCGUCAGCCUCAGGCUUCACGGAAGUGAAAGCGAGCCAAGAGGAAGAUAAAAACCAGUACAAAUAAAUCCCCAAGUCACAACAGAUUAUCUCCUUAGAGGCUUCUGAAAUGCUCAAUUCAGUGGUCCCCAAAUUUGCUGCCCACUGGAAUCACCUGGCCAUCUUUAAAAACUACUGAUGCCUGGCUCACGUCUCUCAGUAUUGUAAUUUACCAGAAGAGCAUCAAAAUCAUUACCAGAAGCGUCUGCUCCUCAUGACUAGCAGCAGCCUUCCGCUGAGAUCGGUGCUUGUUUGCCUGGACUCCCUUACAAAAUCAUGCGUUUACUGAGCUCCCUCCCGAUUUCUUCCGAGCAGUUCCUCAGAGCUACGUGAGAAGCUGUCUCCAUGGCUGUAGUCUUCAC